GAAGGUAUAGCUCAGCGGUAGAGUGCAUGCAUGCAUGAGGUCCUGGGUUCUAUUCCCAGUACCUCCA
rnacentral:tRNA from 1 species